UCUCAUUCCCCUCUUUAUCUAAAAACCAAUUCUGAAAACCCUAAAUUGAACAAAUCGACACCACCAGCGACCCUUUUGUUGGGAUGCCCUUCAUCGUCUUCUUCAUACAGCGGGACAUUUCAAUCAAUCGCAAGGGGAGUUGAGAAAGCGACUUCGAUACUUGUUCUCGUGUUUAGCGUUGAGAUCGGGAGUCUCAGUAGGAAGGAGCUAUGGUGGAAGCUCUGGGACAGUACCUCUCUCAACAUCCUGACCACUCAACCUCACAUGAUUUCCUUCCACCAACAAAGUCGCGAAAGCAAGGGCUUCUGCAACCGCCCAAUCAAAACCCUACCCUGAUUCGAUCAUCUUUAAUCGGUCGCCCAUGUUGUCGCACUCAAUAGAUAUUCGCUUACAGAUGGAGUUACGAAUCCGAGUCAUUCGUAGUUGAUUGCAAUGCAGUUCACCACAACGAACCCGAGCCAAACGGUUACAGACUCGAUGCGAAACCUAGCCAACAGGUUUCAUGCGAACCAUUGUCCUCCCUGAUGUUGAUUUUUUACUAGCUUUCACUGUUUCUUCUUUUCCACGGUUUCUGUUAUAUUUAUUUGUUGUUCUAUCAAUUGAUGCAUAACUCUUUCUUCCUUUCUAUGUUUCUUCGUUCUUCGAUCUGUUCAUACGGAUUUUCAACAAACAGGAUUCAUGAAUUCUUUGUAUUCUGAAAUUGGUUUCUGUGCAAGUUUGCUCGAUUGAACACGGUUGUUUACAAGUCUUCGCUUCAUCAUAUCCCUUAAUAACUUAUGUGAUCCAUUGAGUGUAUGUUAUGGUCUAAGGGUACAACUUCCCAUUGCAACAACAAUAGCAACAACCAAAUGAUUCAGAUUCUCCCCGGAAAAAUCAACCUGCUCCAACAAAAUGCAUACCAAGCAGCUGAUGCUUGAAGAAUGGGCCAUGAAAUUGAAAGUGAUUCUUAGCAACAUUAUUCUUUAGAAUGUAUUAGCGCCUUUGUUAGAUUUUGAUGUUUUUUUCCCGAUUUGAAAGUUUUUUUAGUUUUAUUCUUUAAAAAUAAAUGUAAUUCUUAGCAAAUCUUACAUGUAUUCUAUAAGAAUUAAUGUAAUUUUUGUUUUAAUUAUUCAACUAAUGAUUAGAGAGCUUUGUUAUUCUACAAGAA